AACGUAGGAGGCGAGCGUUAUCCGGAUUUACUGGGUGUAAAGCGCGUGCAGGCGGUUUAGCAAGUCGUGCGUGAAAGCGCUCUGGCUCAACCGGGCGAGGACGUGCGGAACUGCUGAACUAGAGGCAGGUAGAGGCGUGUGGAAUUCCGGGUGUAGUGGUGAAAUGCGUAGAGAUCCGGAGGAACACCAGUGGCGAAGGCGACGCGCUGGGCCUGACCUGACGCUAAGACGCGAAAGCAUGGGGAGCGAACGGG
rnacentral:rRNA from 1 species